UGGGGAAUCUUGGACAAUGGGGGCAACCCUGAUCCAGCCAUGCCGCGUGAGUGAUGAAGGCCUUAGGGUCGUAAAGCUCUUUCGCCUGUGAAGAUAAUGACGGUAGCAGGUAAAGAAACCCCGGCUAACUCCGUGCCAGCAGCCGCGGUAAUACGGAGGGGGUUAGCGUUGUUCGGAAUUACUGGGCGUAAAGCGCACGUAGGCGGACCAGAAAGUUGGGGGUGAAAUCCCGGGGGCUCAACCCCGGAACUGCCUCCAAAACUAUUGGUCUAGAGUUCGAGAGAGGUGAGUGGAAUUCCAAGUGUAGAGGUGAAAUUCGUAGAUAUUUGGAGGAACACCAGUGGCGAAGGCGGCUCACUGGCUCGAUACUGACGCUGAGGUGCGAAAGUGUGGGGAGCAAACAGGAUUAGAUACCCUGGGUAGUCCACACCGUAAAACGAUGAAUGCCAGUCGUCGGGUAGCAUGCUAUUCGGUGACACACCUAA
rnacentral:rRNA from 1 species